UUAAGCGACUAAGCGUACACGGUGGAUGCCCUGGCAGUCAGAGGCGAUGAAGGACGUGCUAAUCUGCGAUAAGCGUCGGUAAGGUGAUAUGAACCGUUAUAACCGGCGAUUUCCGAAUGGGGAAACCCAGUGUGUUUCGACACACUAUCAUUAACUGAAUCCAUAGGUUAAUGAGGCGAACCGGGGGAACUGAAACAUCUAAGUACCCCGAGGAAAAGAAAUCAACCGAGAUUCCCCCAGUAGCGGCGAGCGAACGGGGAGGAGCCCAGAGCCUGAAUCAGUGUGUGUGUUAGUGGAAGCGUCUGGAAAGGCGCGCGAUACAGGGUGACAGCCCCGUACACAAAAAUGCACAUGCUGUGAGCUCGAUGAGUAGGGCGGGACACGUGGUAUCCUGUCUGAAUAUGGGGGGACCAUCCUCCAAGGCUAAAUACUCCUGACUGACCGAUAGUGAACCAGUACCGUGAGGGAAAGGCGAAAAGAACCCCGGCGAGGGGAGUGAAAAAGAACCUGAAACCGUGUACGUACAAGCAGUGGGAGCACGCUUCGGCGUGUGACUGCGUACCUUUUGUAUAAUGGGUCAGCGACUUAUAUUCUGUAGCAAGGUUAACCGAAUAGGGGAGCCGAAGGGAAACCGAGUCUUAACUGGGCGUUAAGUUGCAGGGUAUAGACCCGAAACCCGGUGAUCUAGCCAUGGGCAGGUUGAAGGUUGGGUAACACUAACUGGAGGACCGAACCGACUAAUGUUGAAAAAUUAGCGGAUGACUUGUGGCUGGGGGUGAAAGGCCAAUCAAACCGGGAGAUAGCUGGUUCUCCCCGAAAGCUAUUUAGGUAGCGCCUCGUGAAUUCAUCUCCGGGGGUAGAGCACUGUUUCGGCAAGGGGGUCAUCCCGACUUACCAACCCGAUGCAAACUGCGAAUACCGGAGAAUGUUAUCACGGGAGACACACGGCGGGUGCUAACGUCCGUCGUGAAGAGGGAAACAACCCAGACCGCCAGCUAAGGUCCCAAAGUCAUGGUUAAGUGGGAAACGAUGUGGGAAGGCCCAGACAGCCAGGAUGUUGGCUUAGAAGCAGCCAUCAUUUAAAGAAAGCGUAAUAGCUCACUGGUCGAGUCGGCCUGCGCGGAAGAUGUAACGGGGCUAAACCAUGCACCGAAGCUGCGGCAGCGACGCUUAUGCGUUGUUGGGUAGGGGAGCGUUCUGUAAGCCUGUGAAGGUGUGCUGUGAGGCAUGCUGGAGGUAUCAGAAGUGCGAAUGCUGACAUAAGUAACGAUAAAGCGGGUGAAAAGCCCGCUCGCCGGAAGACCAAGGGUUCCUGUCCAACGUUAAUCGGGGCAGGGUGAGUCGACCCCUAAGGCGAGGCCGAAAGGCGUAGUCGAUGGGAAACAGGUUAAUAUUCCUGUACUUGGUGUUACUGCGAAGGGGGGACGGAGAAGGCUAUGUUGGCCGGGCGACGGUUGUCCCGGUUUAAGCGUGUAGGCUGGUUUUCCAGGCAAAUCCGGAAAAUCAAGGCUGAGGCGUGAUGACGAGGCACUACGGUGCUGAAGCAACAAAUGCCCUGCUUCCAGGAAAAGCCUCUAAGCAUCAGGUAACAUCAAAUCGUACCCCAAACCGACACAGGUGGUCAGGUAGAGAAUACCAAGGCGCUUGAGAGAACUCGGGUGAAGGAACUAGGCAAAAUGGUGCCGUAACUUCGGGAGAAGGCACGCUGAUAUGUAGGUGAGGUCCCUCGCGGAUGGAGCUGAAAUCAGUCGAAGAUACCAGCUGGCUGCAACUGUUUAUUAAAAACACAGCACUGUGCAAACACGAAAGUGGACGUAUACGGUGUGACGCCUGCCCGGUGCCGGAAGGUUAAUUGAUGGGGUUAGCCGCAAGGCGAAGCUCUUGAUCGAAGCCCCGGUAAACGGCGGCCGUAACUAUAACGGUCCUAAGGUAGCGAAAUUCCUUGUCGGGUAAGUUCCGACCUGCACGAAUGGCGUAAUGAUGGCCAGGCUGUCUCCACCCGAGACUCAGUGAAAUUGAACUCGCUGUGAAGAUGCAGUGUACCCGCGGCAAGACGGAAAGACCCCGUGAACCUUUACUAUAGCUUGACACUGAACAUUGAGCCUUGAUGUGUAGGAUAGGUGGGAGGCUUUGAAGUGUGGACGCCAGUCUGCAUGGAGCCGACCUUGAAAUACCACCCUUUAAUGUUUGAUGUUCUAACGUUGACCCGUAAUCCGGGUUGCGGACAGUGUCUGGUGGGUAGUUUGACUGGGGCGGUCUCCUCCUAAAGAGUAACGGAGGAGCACGAAGGUUGGCUAAUCCUGGUCGGACAUCAGGAGGUUAGUGCAAUGGCAUAAGCCAGCUUGACUGCGAGCGUGACGGCGCGAGCAGGUGCGAAAGCAGGUCAUAGUGAUCCGGUGGUUCUGAAUGGAAGGGCCAUCGCUCAACGGAUAAAAGGUACUCCGGGGAUAACAGGCUGAUACCGCCCAAGAGUUCAUAUCGACGGCGGUGUUUGGCACCUCGAUGUCGGCUCAUCACAUCCUGGGGCUGAAGUAGGUCCCAAGGGUAUGGCUGUUCGCCAUUUAAAGUGGUACGCGAGCUGGGUUUAGAACGUCGUGAGACAGUUCGGUCCCUAUCUGCCGUGGGCGCUGGAGAACUGAGGGGGGCUGCUCCUAGUACGAGAGGACCGGAGUGGACGCAUCACUGGUGUUCGGGUUGUCAUGCCAAUGGCACUGCCCGGUAGCUAAAUGCGGAAGAGAUAAGUGCUGAAAGCAUCUAAGCACGAAACUUGCCCCGAGAUGAGUUCUCCCUGACUCCUUGAGAGUCCUGAAGGAACGUUGAAGACGACGACGUUGAUAGGCCGGGUGUGUAAGCGCAGCGAUGCGUUGAGCUAACCGGUACUAAUGAACCGUGAGGCUUAACCUU
rnacentral:rRNA from 1 species